rnacentral:tRNA from 1 species
GCAGGUGUAGCUCAGUGACAGAACACUUGCCUAGCAUGCUUGAGGCCCUGAGUUAAAUUCCCAGCACAUGUG